GACGAACGCUGGCGGCGUGCCUAACACAUGCAAGUCGAACGGGGCCCGCAAGGGUUCAGUGGCGAACGGGUGCGUAACACGUGAAGAAUUUGUCCAACGGCGGGGGAUAGCCCGGCCCAACGGCCGGGUAAUACCGCGUACGAUCUUCGGGGGGCAUCCUCUGGAGAUGAAAGCCGCAAGGCGCCGAUGGAGAACUUCGCGGCCUAUCAGCUAGUUGGUGAGGUCAUGGCUCACCAAGGCGACGACGGGUAGCUGGUCCGAGAGGAUGACCAGCCACAUUGGGACUGAGACACGGCCCAGACUCCUACGGGAGGCAGCAGUGGGGAAUAUUGCGCAAUGGGCGAAAGCCUGACGCAGCGACGCCGCGUGUGGGAUGACGGCC
rnacentral:rRNA from 1 species